rnacentral:lncRNA from 1 species
GUUUGUAAAGUAUGUAAAUAAUUCAUUUUAACAUAAAACAAGUUUUAUAAAAAUAUGGGGGCCUCUGAAUGAGACUAACUCAAUCCCUUACCUAUAAUCGAGUCGGAAAAAGUGUCAAAAUCCUUAUUUACUUAUGCCUAUGCAAUCUUCUAAAUCUUCACUACCACUUGGUUAAUUUCCUCGUUCACAAAUAUAUAACACACGUAUUAAAUAAUGAGAGAUUUUUAUAGACGAACCCAACAAAGACUAGUUUUACCUUGGGCACGCAAUCGCGCUCACCGGAGUCACCACGUGCAAUCACUCGUGUGUCAAAUACAAUCGUGCGUAAGCACCAAAAAGAUGCGCUGUCACAUGCCUCCACAUGAUGUUAUCGGAAAGUAAACGUGCUACCGUUGAAAACUACCACGCACCACUGCUGGAAAUUAUCAUGCACCACUGCCGGAAACUAUCACGUGUCGCCGCCGGACCACCACAUGCCGUCACGAACUAAUCGAAACACGUUGCAGAAUGCACCGCAUGCUCGAAUAUGAUGUAGAUAAAGUGAAAUCGUGCCAAAAACUGGUACGGAUGCGCAAAAUCGCACUUUGAUU